UCGGGAAUUUUGGGCAAUGGGCGAAAGCCUGACGCAGCAACGCCGCGUGAGUGAUGAAGGCCUUCGGGUUGUAAAGCUCUUUCAGACGGAAAGAAACGGUUACGGCUAAUACCCGUGACUAAUGACGGUACCGUAAGAAGAAGCACCGGCUAACUACGUGCCAGCAGCCGCGGUAAUACGUAGGGGGCUAGCGUUGUUCGGAUUUACUGGGCGUAAAGCGCGUGUAGGCGGGUCGUUAAGUUGGGGGUGAAAUCCCGAGGCUCAACCUCGGAACUGCCUCCAAAACUGGCGACCUGGAGCAAGAUAGAGGCGAGUGGAAUUCCGAGUGUAGAGGUGAAAUUCGUAGAUAUUCGGAGGAACACCAGUGGCGAAGGCGACUCGCUGGAUCUUUGCUGACGCUGAGACGCGAAAGCGUGGGGAGCAAACAGGAUUAGAUACCCGUGUAGUCCCUGAGCGGGCUGGCAAGGCGCAU
rnacentral:rRNA from 1 species